rnacentral:rRNA from 1 species
GUGCAGCCGCCGCGGUAAUACCGGCAGCCCGAGUGAUGGCCGAUCUUAUUGGGCCUAAAGCGUCCGUAGCUGGCUGCGCAAGUCCGUCGGGAAAUCCGCCCGCUCAACGGGCGGCCGUCCGGCGGAACCUGUGUGGCUUGGGACCGGGAGGCCUGAGGGGUACGAUCGGGGUAGGAGUGAAAUCCUGUAAUCCCGCUCGGACCGCCGAUGGGGAAACCACCUCAGGAGAACGGAUCCGACAGUGAGGGACGAAAGCUCGGGUCUCAAACCGGAUUAGAUACCCCUGUAGUCC